rnacentral:rRNA from 1 species
AUUGAACGCUGGCGGCAUGCCUUACACAUGCAAGUCGAACGGCAGCACGGGAGCAAUCCUGGUGGCGAGUGGCGAACGGGUGAGUAAAGUAUCGGAACGUGCCCAGUCGUGGGGGAUAACGUAGCGAAAGCUACGCUAAUACCGCAUACGAUCUGUGGAUGAAAGCGGGGGACCGUAAGGCCUCGCGCGAUUGGAGCGGCCGAUAUCAGAUUAGGUAGUUGGUGAGGUAAAGGCCUACCAAGCCGACGAUCUGUAGCUGGUCUGAGAGGACGACCAGCCACAGUGGGACUGAGACACGGCCCAGACGCGUACGGGAGGCAGCAGUGGGGAAUUUUGGACAAUGGGCGCAAGCCUGAUCCAGCAAUGCCGCGUGCAGGAUGAAGGCCUUCGGGUUGUAAGCUGCUUUUGUACGGAGCGAAAAGGCUCUCUCUAAUACAGGGGGCUCAUGACGGUACCGUAAGAAUAAGCACCGGCUAACUACGUGCCAGCCGCCGCCGUAA